GAUCCUGGCUCAGGAUGAACGCUAGCUACAGGCUUAACACAUGCAAGUCGAGGGGCAUCGGGAAGAAAGCUUGCCUUCUUUGCUGGCGACCGGCGCACGGGUGAGUAACACGUAUCCAACCUGCCCUUUACUCGGGGAUAGCCUUUCGAAAGAAAGAUUAAUACCCGAUAGCNUAAUGAUUCCGCAUGGUUUCAUUAUUAAAGGAUUCCGGUAAAGGAUGGGAUGCGUUCCAUUAGGUUGUUGGUGAGGUAACGG
rnacentral:rRNA from 1 species